rnacentral:lncRNA from 1 species
AUUUCCUCCACUCCCUAAUCCUACUAAUGAUUUGGGACCUCCUUGUCCACAUAAUGUUAAUACACAUUAUAUUUUUUUUCAAAAUUGAAGAUUUUUAAAAAAUUAAUGUUCUUUUCUUUAAAUCCUGUCUAAUCUGUCUUGACCAAAUUUUCUAUCUCUUUAACAUCGAUCAAGAAGUGAACAAAAUAAGCUAGUUUAGAUUCAAUCCAAAUCAAGAAAAGAACAGUCAUGCUUGUGAGUAAAAUUUGUCGAUUCUACUCAGCAUUUGAGUGAAAAACAAACAUUCUUUACCCUCAAAUAGGACUCCAAAUCUCAAACUACCACACUACCCUUCUUUUUUCUUUUUCUAAUUCUUCCUACCAGUCAUAAGCAAAAAUAUUUUAUAUAUCAUGGCAUUGCGCAAUUGCCUUUCCAAGAAGCAUUAUCCCAACCGAUCAUAUUGAAGCAAUUUCCCAUUCUUAAUUUUUUCACUUAAUCUCUUUAUUACCUAGCAUGUAAGUUUCUUUAAAUUUGGUUGGUGGUAAUUAUGAGUGGUAGUUGACUUAAAUUAAAUCUACUUUUAAAGAUUGAAAAAGAAAACUACAAAACCUUCAACGUUACUCAACCCCUUUUCACUCUUCAUUUUCCACAUUUUUCAUCUUCAUUCUUCAUUUCCAUUUUAGAUGUAAUACCUGGGACUGAAAAAUUGGCCGGGAUAAAUUUUGUUAAUUUAGAUAUGUAUAAAAAUAUAUUUUAUAAAUUAAU